rnacentral:lncRNA from 9 species
AAGCUGCCUAAUCCUAAAUCGGCUUUUAAAUAGUCAUUUAACAACUCUGAGGCCCUCCAGCAGGAUUCUGUGCAAAUCCCCAGGUAAAUGAGGCCUAGGCUACGUGAAAAUGAACCAACAAAAGAUUUUAAAAAGGACAGCAAGUUCUUUACCUAAACUGUAUUUUAAUUUCUUUUGUCUGAGAAUUAAGGUCGUAACUCACUUCAGAAGACGCUGUGUGACCUUCAGACUUUUUUCAGUGCUACACGACUAUUUAAAAAUCAGUGUGAGAACAUACACCAGUCUUGCCAACAGGGCAUGAGCCCCAGUUAUCUGAGGAUGAAUUCUUUCGUAAGUCAUUUAGGUACUGAGUGGAGAUGAAGAUGUUGCGUGGACUAGAGAUGAGCCAGUCUUCAUCUCUGGUGUGAGGGGUAGUGGUGAGCUGCGGAGAUGUGGAUAAGGUAUGGCAAAGUAAGAGUCCUUGAGAGCAUUGCUUAGUUUCCCGAAGCUCCUGCUUACUUUAUGUUAUGACAAGAGAUUGUAGAAGGCUGUGUUUAGUUACUCAAGGUUGAACCAUAUGGAAAAGCAGAUGACAUUUCCAUCUCAUGAUUUUGGCAUCAUUUUAGAUUUGUUCUUUCCUAUUCCACUGUCUUCAUUGAAGCCUCAUCACUUAAUGACUGGAUUACCACUAUAGCCUCUUUCCUCACUCCUCUCUCCCCAGACUUUUCUCCUUCAGUUCAGCCUACACAUGGUUGCUAAAUCAAUCCUCCUAAGACAGGGCUGUCAUCACUUUAGUCCCUUGAUGUGGCAGGUGGAAUGGAGCAGAGGGAGAUAAACUGGGAAACAUGAGGCCUCGACUCUGAUCCUGGCUCAGCCACUACCAGCUGGGGGACUUUGGACCUGUCCUCUACUCUCCAUUUCCUUCUAGGCAAAAUAAGACUAUGGAGUCACAAAGUUCCCUCUAACCCUGAAAUCCCAUAUACCUGUGCUAAAAAAUGUGUAGUCUUAUCAGUGAGUUUAUACAAGAUCUGAUAUGUACAUCCCUUCCUCACCUGAGUGGCUGACACAUUCUCUGCCAUCCCUCCUCACAGUGAUCAUAAAACUUGUCGGUGGUGAGAAGUUAAUCUUCUGAAAUAUUGCAUGUGCCCAGUUGGAAGGGCUCAUCUUUGUGAAGCUUUCCCAGAUAUCUUCAGUUUACACACUAUGCCUCACACCUUUGAAACUCAUACCUUUGUCUCCCAACUUAGGGGUCAUCUGAGUAAUGGUGACAGUAAUAUUAGUUAAAAUUUAUCAAACACUUAUCAAGUAUCAGGCACUACAUUAGUGCUUGUUUUCCAUAUCUCAUUUAAUUCAUGCCAAGCUGCUGUUAUUAUUUCUGCUUUACAGAUAAGGAAACUGAGACAUAGAGAGGAUAAGACAUUUUCCAGAGUUUAUCCUGUUGGUAGAUGGUGGAGUCCUAAUUUCAAACCAGAUCUGCCAACUCCUGAAUCCAUAUUUUUAACUACCAGAUCACAGCACUGAUGAUGUUUGUCUUGUGAUUUUUCUUCUUGUAAGCUAAUCAUCAGGAAUUGUAUCUCAUACUUUCAGCUAAAUACCGCCAAACCUGUUAUGUGACAGCUACAUAUAAUACAAGUUCUUUAUAAGAAAAUAAGUGAUUAAUAGAGAUUAG